AGCCCAAUACCAGAAUCGAACUGAUAACUAAGAAUUACAAGUUCCUCGUUUUUCCAUUAAACUAAUCGGGC
rnacentral:tRNA from 1 species